AUUGAACGCUGGCGGCAGGCCUAACACAUGCAAGUCGAGCGGAGCGGCGGACGGGUGAGUAAUGCCUGUGACUCUGCCUGGUAGUGGGGGAUAACGUCCGGACACGGCCGCUAAUCCCGCAUACUAUCAGAUGAGCCUCGGUCGGAUUAGCGAGGUGGUGGGGUAAAGGCCUACCAAGGCGACGAUCCGUAACUGGUCUGAGAGGAUGUUCAGUCCCACAGGAACUGAGACACGGUCCAGACUCCUACGGGAGGCAGCAGUGGGGAAUAUUGGACAAUGGGCGAAAGCCUGAUCCAGCCAUGCCGCGUGUGUGAAGAAGGUCUUCGGAUUGUAAAGCACUUUAAGUUGGGAGGCGUUACCAACAGAAUAAGCACCGGCUAACUUCGUGCCAGCAGCCGCGGUAAUUC
rnacentral:rRNA from 1 species